GAGACUUAAGUUUGGGGUUUGGAUUGGAA
rnacentral:piRNA from 1 species